rnacentral:lncRNA from 1 species
UUUACUCUGAAGUGGAUGGGAAGCCACUGGCGGGAUCUGAGCAGAGAAGACAUGGGUCCCCUGCCCUCCAGCGAGCCUAGUUGAGCCCCAGCUGGACUCCAAGUCGAGCCUCUGCAGCCAGGUGUCCGCCAGAUGUCUUCCACGGCCAGCAAGGGAACCGCCUGGGCACGCGUCAGUCUGGCCUGUUUCCUGAUCCAGAAAAUUAUUUUCAGCUGCGCGUGACCUUCCACGGGGCCAGGACCGGAAAACUAGACAGCAGUGAUCUUUUUAAAACCGUGGACUCUAUGAACUAGGAAAGUCCCCUCCAAACUCGUCAACAGGAAUUCACUGCUUAUUGCAAACCCUGCUGAGACGCAGAGCGGAGAAAACAGGAGGUGCCCCAGUUUCUUCUCCCGGGUAAGACUGAGAGCUGUCCUUGAACCUGAUCGGCCAGAGAGAGUGCUGAGGAGAACCAGAGCAUCCCGUGGGGCUCCCUGGGCUGGGCUCUGCCAGGUGGGUUUCCCAGGAGAUCGGCCAUGACAGCUGCUGUGUUGGGCACUCCUCCAGGGCAGGGGUGGCCCCGGGAGAACUUGGGCAGGAGGGGGCAUGAGUCACACAGAGGGUGGCCCACUGGGUUUAUGGUACCCGGAGUUGCAAACACUCAGGUGUGAGUCACCUGAGUGCACACGUGGCUGGAGGCAGACAGCCUCCCUUGCCCUCCCCUCCUCCAAUCCCAGCUCCUGAUGGUUGUACCCUCUCCUGUGCUGAGGGCAGCAGAGACUCAUUAGCGAACUGGGGGCCCUGGAGUCGGAGAGCUGGCUUCCAAUUCCGGCUCUAGUACCCGCGCUCAGGGACACUGGGCAUGUGUUGUCACCUGCCUGUGCCUCAAUCUCCUUAACUGCAAAAUGGACAUAACCUCCAGGCUGAUGAAGACUAGGAGAGCAGAGGUCAGGGAUGGGCCCCUUCAUAGGGGCUCAGGGCCUUUCUGUUCCUCCAUUGCUUUCUCCGGCCUGGCCCGCUGUGUGAGGCUGGCCGGCAGACAUCUGUCUCUCUCUCAAUUUUAAAAAAUUUUUUUAGUAGGGA